rnacentral:ribozyme from 1 species
UGCGGAAGGACAGCAAAAAAAGAAAAAGAAAAAGAAAAGCGAUCGCGCAAAGAAGAAGGCAAAAAAGAAGGCUGAUCGAUUGUGAAGAUUCUGGUGCGUCCUUGUGUCAGUACCCUUCUUUUUGCUGCAAGUUU